UACGUAGGUCCCGAGCGUUGUCCGGAUUUAUUGGGCGUAAAGCGAGCGCAGGCGGUUUGAUAAGUCUGAAGUUAAAGGCUGUGGCUCAACCAUAGUUCGCUUUGGAAACUGUCAAACUUGAGUGCAGAAGGGGAGAGUGGAAUUCCAUGUGUAGCGGUGAAAUGCGUAGAUAUAUGGAGGAACACCGGUGGCGAAAGCGGCUCUCUGGUCUGUAACUGACGCUGAGGCUCGAAAGCGUGGGGAGCGAACAGG
rnacentral:rRNA from 5 species